GUUGAUGUAGCUUAAUUUUAAAGCAAGACACUGAAAAUGUCUAGACGGGUGGUCACAACCCCAUAAACA
rnacentral:tRNA from 1 species